rnacentral:tRNA from 1 species
GCUGGUAUGACUCAAGUGGUAGAGUACUAGCCUUGAGAGAAAAAGCUAAGUGAGAGCACUAGGCCCUGAGUUUAAGUCCUAGUACCAGCA